UCACAAUCAUGUUAAAGCCCUAUUUUC
rnacentral:sRNA from 1 species